rnacentral:rRNA from 1 species
GAUGAACGCUGGCGGCGUGCCUAAUACAUGCAAGUCGAGCGAACAGAUGAGGAGCUUGCUCCUCUGACGUUAGCGGCGGACGGGUGAGUAACACGUGGAUCACCUACCUAUAAGACUGGGAUAACUUCGGGAAACCGGAGCUAAUACCGGAUAAUAUAUUGAACCGCAUGGUUCAAUAGUGAAAGACGGUUUUGCUGUCACUUAUAGAUGGAUCCGCGCCGCAUUAGCUAGUUGGUAAGGUAACGGCUUACCAAGGCGACGAUGCGUAGCCGACCUGAGAGGGUGAUCGGCCACACUGGAACUGAGACACGGUCCAGACUCCUACGGGAGGCAGCAGUAGGGAAUCUUACGCAAUGGGCGAAAGCCUGACGGAGCAACGCCGCGUGAGUGAUGAAGGUCUUCGGAUCGUAAAACUCUGUUAUUAGGGAAGAACAAAUGUGUAAGUAACUAUGCACGUCUUGACGGUACCUAAUCAGAAAGCCACGGCUAACUACGUG